rnacentral:rRNA from 1 species
GAUGAACGCUGGCGGCGUGCCUAAUACAUGCAAGUCGAGCGAACAGACGAGGAGCUUGCUCCUCUGACGUUAGCGGCGGACGGGUGAGUAACACGUGGAUAACCUACCUAUAAGACUGGGAUAACUUCGGGAAACCGGAGCUAAUACCGGAUAACAUGUUGAACCGCAUGGUUCAACAGUGAAAGACGGUCUUGCUGUCACUUAUAGAUGGAUCCGCGCCGCAUUAGCUAGUUGGUAAGGUAACGGCUUACCAAGGCAACGAUGCGUAGCCGACCUGAGAGGGUGAUCGGCCACACUGGAACUGAGACACGGUCCAGACUCCUACGGGAGGCAGCAGUAGGGAAUCUUCCGCAAUGGGCGAAAUCCUGACGGAGCAACGCCGCGUGAGUGAAGAAGGUCUUCGGAUCGUAAAACUCUGUUAUUAGGGAAGAACAAAUGUGUAAGUAAUUAUGCACGUCUUGACGGUACCUAAUCAGAAAGCCACGGCUAACUACGUG